UACAUUUAACUUAUUUCGUCGUUUCGCUAAUGUGCUGCACGAAAAACUGACGAAUCGUGUAAAUGCUACAUAAAACAAAAUGUUUGUUUGCUCUGUCAUCUGACGUUUAAUUCCGAUUCCGUUCCAUCUCGACAAACAAAAUGUUUAUACGUUAUAAUAUAGAACCAGCGAUGGUGACGUGGCAUAAAUUGAAGUUGUUGCAACUGGAUGGAGUUUCCCUGCAGCUGGGAGUCCUGCAGUAAACAUGCAAAUCAAGUAACACAGGGAUAACUGCAACACAGGGAUUGCAACGCUGAUCCAUCCUUUUCUUUCAUGUCUUCACCGAGAUCACCGUGCGUCUGUCAGUACCAUGUCCUUGAACAAUUUUAUGAACAUCACGUGAGCUCAAAAGGAAAAUAAAUCAUUGUGAUUUGAAGGUGGAGAGUAUGCUGAUCGAUGCAUAUAACUGUCCCAAGCCGACAGAUUUUGAAAUAGUGAUGAUUUGUGACUAUGAUCUAUGGAUCGGUGCAGGACGAACUAACUAUGAGAAUCGUCUGUAUUGUAGUGUACUUGGCACCGAAGGAGCCCACCGGCAAACUAUGCGGCUUAAAAUUUUUGUUGCUGCUCGUGAUAAGUUUCUACCAACUUCGCAUAGUGAGCCAUUCGGUUGAGAUGUCCGACCUGAUAAUGGAAGGAAAUAAAAGUUAAUGACACUUUUGAUUGGCAGAUUUGAUUUAAAAAUAAUACAGCUAUAGCAAAGAUAUUGGAUGGUGGGAAAUAUUUUUAAGUAUGUUGGUAUUAUCACUUUAAUGACGCCGAAUGUGUGCUCUUGGGUAAACUUUACUAGACCCUUGUAGUUUCAAAGCAGGAAACUGAACCGUUUUAUAAAAUUCGUUCCCAAUGUGUAUUUAGAUUUCUU